rnacentral:rRNA from 1 species
UACGUAGGGGGCAAGCGUUGUCCGGAAUUAUUGGGCGUAAAGAGCGUGUAGGCGGUCCGGUAAGUCAGCUGUGAAAGUCAAGGGCUCAACCCUUGAAUGCCGGUUGAUACUGUCGGGCUAGAGUCCGGAAGAGGCGAGUGGAAUUCCCGGUGUAGCGGUGAAAUGCGCAGAUAUCAGGAGGAACACCGGUGGCGAAGGCGGUUCUCUGGGACGGUACUGACGCUGAGACGCGAAAGCGUGGGGGAGCGAACAGG